UGGAUUAAUCCGUACUGAUAAACUAAUUUGAUGCUAUUUAGGGAAAAAACAUAGUACCACUGCACAAUGCUUUGACAGCUGUUCUUCACAUAUCUUGAGAAGAAGUACUUCGCCCCUUCAUUUUGAAGGAAUUGGAAUCUAGUUAAUGGAGUAGGCUAUUUAUCUUGGAAUGUGGCAUUCCACAACUUUUUAAAGUUUAGAUAUAAGUCUAUCUUAAAUUCAUGGGGGUGGGAGAUGGAAAUUGAUUCUAUAGAUCCUCAAUGCUAUGUUUCUAAUAUGCAACUUAUAGCACGCUUUUUGACUCGCUUCCCUAUAGCAGAAGUGCAGCACAUAAGUAUGUCUCCUAUAUGGCCAACAAUAAUAUACAAAUAUAUUUCAUGUACAACUAUAUUAGCUUAAUUAAUUUGUGUCUAAAUUAUGAUUAUUAGAAUGAAAUUCAAUUCCAAGGAUCCAAACAGGGUCUUUGAGAAAUUUGAGUUUUGCGCUUGUUUUUUAAAGCAGAGUGCUGUGCAAAGUUUUAAAACUUUUUUAUCAAAUUUCACGAAUUAAGCACCAUUAUUCCAAAAAGUGGUAAGAGGAAAUCACAACUUGGUUAUUUAUACAAUGGCUAAGCAU
rnacentral:lncRNA from 1 species